CGGCCGCGACCUCAACCGCAGCUUUCCCGACCAGUUUAGCACCGGCGAACCCCCCGCCCUGGACGAGGUGCCCGAGGUGCGCGCCCUCAUCGAGUGGAUCCGCAGGAACAAGUUUGUGCUUUCUGGAAAUCUGCAUGGUGGCUCAGUGGUAGCAAGCUAUCCUUUUGAUGAUUCUCCAGAACAUAAGGCCACUGGAAUCUAUAGCAAAACCUCAGAUGAUGAAGUAUUUAAAUACUUGGCAAAAGCUUAUGCUUCAAACCACCCCAUAAUGAAAACUGGUGAGCCUCAUUGUCCAGGAGAUGAAGACGAGACUUUCAAAGAUGGAAUCACAAACGGCGCACAUUGGUAUGAUGUGGAAGGUAUGCAAAGCAUUGAGUUUGCUACAUUUUCCCCCUUGUUCGUUGAAUUUUGUUAU
rnacentral:sRNA from 1 species